AUGGGCUCCCCUCCCCAGCUGCUGAGGUUUUGGCCUUGCUUCGGUGGAAACUUGGUUGAAGUACAAAUACAGAAUAGCAGCUGCAUGUUUGAAGAAUGCAGUGUGACAGGAUCCAGUUGGGUACAAACCAAGAACAAUCCAAGAGCUCAAGGAAACUUUUAUGUAUGGAAAUUUGGAUUUCUAGGAUCCUUGAAGGCCCAAAUGGUGCAAAAAUCCUGGAGUCUGUGAUGCUUCAGUGAAUUGCAAGACUAGACUUGGAUCUGCUCUCAAAAGUGGUUUUACACUGGAGUAAUGGGAAUGGAGUUCCUGGCUUGCGCCAGUUGAUAAGAAUGAAUUAACAAAUGGGCCUUUGAAAUUGAAGUACCUUCAUUUUCAAGCCUGCCUUGAUGUUGGGAUGGCGCUGCAGAGAACUUCCUGCUGAAAUAACCAAUGCUUCUAAGGAAGCAACACCAGCAAAGGACUGUGAAUGGUUUUGUAGAGAGAAACACACAUUCAGUGUACAUGGACAGUGCUGUAAUUUGUGAGGCCUUUUUGUGUGGUAGGAUUUUUUAAAUUUUAUUUUAUUUGAAAGCACUUAACGUUUUGCUGUUUCACUUCUGGUGAGACUAAAGAAACUUGUCACUAAAAUGCUGAGCAGUUUUCUAGGAACAUCUGGCAGGAGAAGUUUCAUCUCAGCUUGGAAGAACACAUGAAUGUGUUUCCUUUUUCAUGAAAAACUUUAAAUUUUGGAGUAUUUUCCUCUCUGAAAAAUUUCUGGAGUCUGAUUAAGCACACACAAGUUGUGACACAGUUACCACAGGAGCUCUAGAUUCUUUUUAUUUUAGGUUUUCAGGCACUGAAACCUAACAGGCAAGGUUCCUGAAUUUAUGCCUCCCACAUCUGAAGAGCAGGGAAUCACAUAUUGAAACAGUUCUGCCCGACUUCCUCCUUCUUCUUGAGACAGUAAUGCAGCUGCCUAUGGCUGAAGGUUCCUGUGUGUGGCUUGGAGAAUCAAGCAGAGCACUGCAUGAAUUUCAAUAAGCAUGCCUCCUUCUCCAUCCAUAGUCCCACAUGCCAGUCUCAAUUUUGUGCCUAGAUGAAACAAUUAAUGUGUGUGGGCUGCAUGAAGCCACGGGCAGCUAGAAUAUGGGUGUCAUUUAGCACUGCAAAUGCGGAACUUGCUGACAAGCAUGUUGAACACAGAGUCAGAUUCAGUUCUUUUGCUACAGAGUUCCUGGGCACUAGUCUAUGUACGUAGAAUAUAUACACUAAAAUGCAUUUAACCGGGGACUGCUCUUUAUAAAUACUCUGAACAACUCUAGAUCUAUAAAUUAUGCCUCAUGGUGUAGCUAGGAAAAAUCAAGAAUGCCUUAGAUUAAAGGAGAAAAGAAGAUUGUGUUCUAGUAAAAAUCAAUUAAAUAUUUAAGCAGAAAAAAAGUAAUUUUGUCUGAUUUUAACUGGUAGCAACUGAAAAUACAUUUUAGGAGCCUUUUACAGAACAGCUAAUUCCUCAUUCGCUGCCCCAAAAAAUUCUCUGAUUGUUCAUGUACACAAAAGCAAUAAGAAGUGAUUACUCAUUUAUUCAAUAUAUAAUUUGCAGAGCAGUGAUAUAAAAUAAGAAGUUUAGAGAGCUGGAAAUACAAAGUGUUGAAGAAAAUGUAUAUGUACUGUAACAACUGAAUAUUGGAUAGGAGGCAACAGAGGUUGGAUAAUAAGACCAGGGACUCACAAACUAGCUUGAGGAGGGACCUCAGCAACAUGAAGAAAUCAGAGAAGCUGCUGAAAUUAGCCAAAACAUCAAAGCAUGACUGAGAAAGAAAUGGGCAAAUGAACUAAGUCAUGGCUGGAGAGGGGGGAAAUGAACUAUGAAACAAUGAUUGGAAAGUUAUCAUUAGAAUGAAAAGAACUUUCUAAUUAAAAACAAAUAAACAAACAAACAAACAAAAUGUUAUAGUCA
ensembl:lncRNA